UACGUAGGUGGCAAGCGUUGUCCGGAUUUACUGGGCGUAAAGCGCGCGCAGGCGGUCCUUUAAGUCUGAUGUGAAAGCCCACGGCUCAACCGUGGAGGGUCAUUGGAAACUGGGGGACUUGAGUGCAGAAGAGGAAAGCGGAAUUCCACGUGUAGCGGUGAAAUGCGUAGAGAUGUGGAGGAACACCAGUGGCGAAGGCGGCUUUCUGGUCUGUAACUGACGCUGAGGCGCGAAAGCGUGGGGAGCAAACAGG
rnacentral:rRNA from 1 species